rnacentral:lncRNA from 1 species
CUAACUAUUCCUUUGUCAUCUUGUUUUGCUCUAACUCCUAUCUCCCAAACAUCUUCGACAAGCUUUGCAUUUGUUGGCUGAUCUGACCAUUGUGGCAUUGCAACCAUUGGUACUCCCAAACUGAUCGCUUCCAAAGUUGAAUUCCAUCCACAGUGCGUGAGAAAACACCCUAUUGAUUUAUGUUCCAAGAUUUGUAAUUGUGGACACCAUGACACCACUAAGCCUUUAUUUUCACUUGCUAAUUUUAAUUCCUCUAAAUAAUUCUUGGGAAGUUUGGACUCUUCAUUGGAUCUAACUACCCACAAGAAGUUCUUGUUGCUAUUUCUCAAACCCCAUGCCAGUUCUUCCAUUUGGUCAGGUUCUAGUUUGGCAUAACUUCCAAAUGAUACAUAUACUACUGAGCUAAUUGGUUGAUGGUUCAACCAAUUUAGGCAUUCAUUUGUCAUUGGCUUGAAGACACUAAGGCCAUACUCUUUGUCAUUUGGUAGUCUCUUGUCUAGGUAUAUGGAUGGUAUAGUUGGUCCAAUUGUCUUGAUUGGAUAAAGCUUGGACAUCCAAUCAAUUAUCUACAUGUCAAACAAUAAUUACAGCCAUGAUAAGAUUUCAUCUAAGAUUUAUACACACAAUAAAAAGCGCAAUUAAAGUUUAAUAUGUUAUAGCAACUUUAUCAGCAUUAAUUAAUAAUUUAGUAAAAAUAAUAACUUACUCAUUAUUACAUGUUAAAAAUUCAACAAUAAUAUAAGAAUUCUUUUCAUAACUAUAUAUAUAACUUAAAUCUCAAAAACAAGAAAAAGAGAAAAUAAUCUCUUACCUCUUUCUCCAACUCAUAGAAGCUAUUGAUUAGAACCCAAUCCACAUUCUCAAGAUUUGAGAAUUGAUCCACCAACAUUUCAAGUAUUUUUGCUGAUUCAGGAUUAGAAACAAAAGUAGGUACAUCUGAUUUCUCAAUUGUUAAUAAUCCAGGAACUAACACUUGUUCAUCAACUUCAGUAGGAGGAAGUUUAAUAACCCCUUUAUGUACAUAGUAAUAAAUAUUAUCCACUGCACAAGAUUGUGUGAAAAAUGCAGCACAGGCUAAUCCAUACUUCUUUGCCACUUCUACAGCCCAAGGAAGAAAUGGAUCAUAAAUAAUGCAAUUCACAGGACAACCACGAGUCGUUAACGUUUCAAUAAGAUGAGACAGAGUGUCAGAGCCAACUUCUUUGAAUCUUGUUAUGUAUGUUACGAAGCUGCCUGCUUGUUCGUGG